rnacentral:tRNA from 1 species
AGGGAUGUAGCUCAGUCUUAAGAGCAUAUGCUUUGCAUAUAUGAGGCUCUGGGUUCAAUCCACAGCAUCCAAA